rnacentral:rRNA from 1 species
GACGAACGCUGGCGGCGUGCUUAACACAUGCAAGUCGAACGGAAAGGCCCUGCUUUUGUGGGGUGCUCGAGUGGCGAACGGGGGAGUAACACGUGAGUAACCUGCCCUUGACUUUGGGAUAACUUCAGGAAACUGGGGCUAAUACCGGAUAGGAGCUCCUGCUGCAUGGUGGGGGUUGGAAAGUUUCGGCGGUUGGGGAUGGACUCGCGGCUUAUGAGCUUGUUGGGGGGGUAGUGGCUUACCAAGGCUUUGACGGGUAGGCGGCCUGAGAGGGUGACCGGCCACAUUGGGACUGAGAUACGGACCAGACUGCUACGGGAGGCAGCAGUGGGGAAUAUUGCACAAUGGGCGGAAGCCUGAUGCAGCAACGCCGCGUGCGGGAUGACGGCCUUCGGGUUGUAAACCGCUUUCGCCUGUGACGAAGCGUGAGUGACGGUAAUGGGUAAAGAAGCACCGGCUAACUACGUG